ensembl:lncRNA
AGUGUUAUAUCUAAAAAGUCAUCAUCAUACCCAAGCUCAUCUAGGUUUUCUCCUAUGUUAUCAUCUGGGAGUUUUAUAGUUUUACAUUUAGAUCUAUGAUCCAUUUUGAGUUAGUUUUUAUCAGUUGACUAUGUUAUGUGGGUCUAUUUCUAAACUCUCUGUUCUGUUCCAUUGAUCUAUUUGUCUCUUCUUUUGCCAAUACCACACUGUCUUGAUUACUGCACUUUUAUAGUAAAGGUUGAAAUUGGGUAGUUUGCUCUCUGAUUUUGUUCUAUAAUAUUCUGGGUCUUUUCCCUCUCCGUAUAAACUUUAGAAUCAGUUUGCCAACAUUUGCAGAAUAACUUGCUGGGAUUUUGAUCUGAAUUGUAUUAAAUCUAUAGACCAAAUUGGGAAGAGCUGACAUCUUGACAAUAUUGAGUCUCCCCAUCUAUGAACAUGUAACAUCUCUCAAUUUAUUUUGUUCUUUCAUCAGAGUUUUGUGGUUUUUCUCAUAUAGAUCUUGUAUUUUGUUACCUUUAUACCUAAGGAUUUUAUUUUUUGGAGUACUAAUGUAAAUGGUAUCGUGUCUUAAAAUUCAAGUUCCACUUGUUUAUAGGAAAGCAAUUGAUUUUUGUAUAUUAAUCUUGUAUCUUGCAACCUUGCUAACAUUGCUUAUUGGUUCCGGAGUGUUUUUGUCAGUUUCAGACUUUUUGCAUAGAUGAUCAUGUCAUCUAUGAACAAAGACAAUUUUGUUUCUUGUUUUCCAAUUUAUAUUCCGUCUGUCUCAUUGCAUUAACUAGCACUGACACAACAAUGUUGAAAAAGAGUGGUGAGAUAAGACAUUCUUGUCUUGUACCCAAUCUUAGUAGGAAAUCUUCUAGUCCCAUCAUUAAGCAUGAGAGAUGUAUUGUUUUUGCAGAUGUCCAUAAUCUGUAUGAAUAACCAUAAUUUUAAUCUGUUUUGUGUGAGUAUCGUAAGUCUUUUGAAAUAUUACUUAGAAGUGGAACAAUAGGCACUCAGGUAAUGCUGAACUAUGAAAGCAAGUUUACCAGAUAUCACUUUUAUAAAAAUGUGCUUUAAAUCAACUAGCUAAAGAAAAUCGUUCAUAAGUAGUUUCACACUAAACUCCAGAAAACAUAGGUUCCUCUGGCUGGUCUUUAGUCUAUGUGUUGUUAAAUACAUUCUUUCCUAACAGACCAUAAUUAAAUGUUAUGGAUUCUACCACUAUGAUCUAUAUUUUGUUCACCAUUAGUUUCAUGAUGGUUUCAAUAAUUACAUCUUUCAACCUUUUUUGUGUGGCUAGCACUAUACUAAAAUACAAAGAAGUUUAAGUCAGAGUGUCCUACUUCUAGGGACUUAAAGAUCUAUUAAGGGGUCAAGAGAGACAUUAGGAACAGCCAAGAGACAAUGCAAAGCAGAGUAUAAUUAAUCAUCAAAAUGAGAGAUGUUGGUUAUAAGGGCAAAAGAAGUGCAGGAUACGGAAGACAAUGUGGACGAGAGAUAUUAUGGAAGAUAUUAGAAAACAGUAAGAAGUUAGUUCUCAUAGGGUAGGCUGGAUUGACAAAUGUGAAAGCAAGAGGGAAAGGUAUUUCUUCCAGGUAUCUGGUCAGCAUGAGCAAUGGCUUGGAGUUGGGAAUGAGCAUGAUAUGACUAAGAACAGUAGAAGCAGAGCAUGAAAAGAAUGGUCAUGGAGCUUAGAUGAAUCCAUGCAGGUAAGUAUCUCCUUAAGGUGUGUUGGUUGGUGAUUUUAUUUUCUCUAAUGAUAAAGGAGGGGAACUUUACACUUUUACAGAACAAUAACAACCAUGAUUUAGUUUAAGUUUGUACUGUGCAUUUUAAGUAAUUGUAGGAAUAUGACAGGAUGACCAAAACUGCCCCUCCCUUUAGGGUUGUUGGGUUACAAUGUGGUCUUUCCCUCUUUCCCCCUACAGUUUUGGAAGGCAGUGAGAGAACCAGCCUGGAACAGUGGGCUGCUGCAUUUGCAGGUUGGAUGAAGGCAGAUGCUUGGGCCCAUUGAUAAUGUUUGCCUUCUGUUAUUUGAGUUUUCCUCUGACUCCCUCCCGGAAAGUAAGGCGCUAUUCACCCAAAGAAUGAAAGCCCCUUUACUAUCAUUGUAAAGACAGAAUUGGCUGCUGCAUCUAUAGAGAAGUGCUUAGUAUACCAUAUAUGUGCAACUUUGGAGUUCGUGCUACUUUCAGUUGAGCCCCAGUUUUCUAUCUGUUCAAUAACUGGAAAUUUCCUGCGAGUGUGGCUUAUCAUUAUCAUGUUUUAGUGACAGCGAGGAGCCUGCAUCACAGAGCCUUGUUGUAUUAAUGCUCCAGGUUGCUUCUGCUAACCCUCUGAGGAGUAAGACGGUGGAAUGCAAAGGUUACUGGUGCUCUCUGGGGUCAGAGUGCACACAGGGCUAGUAUUGAUCAUCUCCCUGGUUCCUACCCUACUCUGGGGAAGUUUAACAGUCACAGUAGCCACUGCAAAGCUACAUAAAGGUUUCAACAUCAACUUUCCAAAGCUUAAAAAAGGCAGGCAGGGCUGUAUUUCUCUCUCUCUUCAUAGUGCUCAUCAUUUAUAAAUCUUUCACUCUGAAAGAUAGUACCAUAUGUUUUCUUGAAGGGCUUUCUUGAUUACUGUAGAUUAAGGCUAUCAUUUACUAAUAUAUUCAAGAGUGUUUAUUGCAAAAAUCCUA